UGCAUGUGACGUGGCAUCUCCAAACUCACUUUUUAUUUACCCAAACCCAACCCCAACCCCUCAAAAACAACACAAAGCAAAUUUCUGACUCUCAUUCUCUCUCUCGAUUCUACUCUGCUCUCCUUUCUUCCGUCAACGGCGCUUCUCACUGUGGCCACCGGGUGAACCUUUUCGGUUUGUGGACACGCUUUAAUGUACAGAAGCAGCAAUAUUGUGGCUAGGGUUUUUAAUCGUCAAAUUUGCACUCCUCCUCCUGGCACUAGUUUCUGGUCUGAUUCUGCGAAAGUGUGAUUGAACAUUGGAGAUCGACAUAGGAAGACGAAGAGCUAUGGAUUCUUCUUCUUCUUCUUCUCUUAUGGCUUCGCUUCCAGAAAAUGCGACGGAGGAGCAUUCACAACAGCAAACUCAACCCGAUUCUGCUUUCGCUUCCGUUCCUCAAUGCCCACCGACUAAGAGCUCUUCAGAAAAAUACGCGCCUCUAGAUUGGUCCCAGUAUUUUGACAAAGAAGACGAUGUUGCGAUUCCCGCAUCUAACGAUGUGUUUCAUAUUUACACGGCAGGAACUGAAGGUCCCGUUGUAUUCUGUUUACACGGGGGUGGUUAUUCCGGGCUUUCGUUUGCUGUCUCAGCAAGUAAAAUUAAGGAGAAAGCUAGGGUAGUAGCUAUGGACUUGAGAGGCCAUGGGAAAUCAUCAACAGAAAAUGAUAUUGACUUAUCUGUUGAGACUAUGUGCAACGAUGUAUUUGCUGUUAUAAAGGAAUUAUAUGGCAACUCUCCUCCAGCAAUGAUUCUUGUUGGUCACAGCAUGGGAGGAUCAAUUGCUGUGCAUGUUGCUGCAAGAAAAUCAUUGUCCACCUUGGCUGGGUUGGUUGUCGUGGAUGUUGUAGAGGGAACAGCUAUGGCUUCACUCAUUCAUAUGCAGAAAAUUCUAUCAAACAGGAUGCAACAUUUUUCAAGCAUUGAAAAAGCUAUUGAAUGGAGUGUCAGGGCGGGGUCUGUAAGAAAUAUUGAUUCUGCUCGUGUAUCCAUCCCUCCCACAUUAAAAUAUGAUGAGUCAAAGAAAUGUUAUCUUUAUCGGACUGAGCUGGAAAAGACUGAACAAUAUUGGAAAGGCUGGUAUGAAGGACUCUCUGAUAAAUUUUUGUCAUCUCCAGUUGCAAAGUUGUUGUUAUUAGCAGGAACAGAUAGAUUGGACAGGUCUCUCACAAUUGGCCAGAUGCAAGGGAAGUUUCAAAUGGUAGUUGUAAGGCAUACAGGGCACGCUAUUCAGGAAGAUGUACCUGAUGAAUUUGCAACUCUGAUUGUCAACUUCAUUUCUCGGAACCGAAUAGGCCCUCAUGGAGUUGAGUGGCUGCCUUGUUAGAGGGUAUGGACGAACCUCAACUCCCAAUCUUUGUUUCUUCAGUGUAUGAUUCUUAUGAGUAUUCAGUCCUAGGGUGCUCAAGGACAACUGAUUGGUCAAAGAAAAAGCAACUUUUUAGUCACUCAAUGAUUUUAUUGUGCACAUGAUUACCCCUGAAAUACCCAAGUUCAGCUAAAAGAGCCAUCUUAUGGAUAAUAUGAUGAGUAAAUCCUAGCAGCCACUGCCCAGUUUCAUCCCUCAGCAGCUUGACAACUAUAUUCGGCAGGAUUACCUCAAGAAACCUCAUCUGGUCAUUUUACAUCAGUCCUUAUGCUAUUUCUCAAAAUUAUAUUAGUUUCAGUCUCACUUUCACAUUGGAUGGUAUCAAUGUAAUUGGAGAUACCUGGCCUUCUCAAGCCAGCCUUUUCAAAACCUUGAAUCUGGCUGGUGCUUAAGUAACCCGAGAAUGACCACUCUGCAAGAUGACGAUGAUCAUGGAUUUCUUACUUUUUUUAUUCCUUUACUUUGGAUAUAUAAUUAUGGAUACAAUAUUUAUGUUGAUAGGGGAGGAGGAUAGGUGAAACGAUUAUACAUCUCAGAUUAUUUUCAAAUGUAAUGAGCUGUAGGGGGAAGAUGAGGAAGGGCAUAGAUUUGCGCACUCAGCUAAGCGAAGUUAGUAUGGUCAUCGGUACUAUCCUUAGUGAAUUUUACGAAUACGAGGAAGAAAUGUUGAUGCAAUGUGAUUUUAGAUUUAGUUCUCAUAUUAUAAUGUAUCAGUUUAUUUUACAA